CCACAAUGUUCCUAAGAUAGUGAUCCUCAGCUGUUCAACAGAAGCACAACUAAAGUUUGAGAGAAAUUUUAACUUUGAGGCCCAUCAAGAGGGCACCAAGCAAUAAAGGAAAUAUCAAGCUCAUGUGGGUCUUUUCUCUUGGUUUCACAGAAUCCCUCAGAGGGAACUUUUCCACUCUCCAGCUUGGGUUACAACCGAUUGCUGUGAUUCCUGCUCCAGACAUGCUUCUAGCUGGGAAGAGAAGAGCUACAGAAACCUCUCAACAUCCAAAGAAGUUCCUCGGCUUUGGUUACAGUUGUUCUGUGUAGGCUGCCCAACCAUCCUGACAGCGCCGACAGAUGCAGCCUCAGAGGGUGAAGCCACAGCUCGGGUCUUCUGGUCCAGGGCGGCCCUCUGGGAAAAAGACCCAUUUGUCUCAGCCUAAACUGAAGAAGGCAGCUGAAAUUCCAACCGCCUGCAGGGAAGCACUUGAUGAAGUAUUUGGAAUUUGAGGGGGUGGAGGGGACUCGUCUCUCCCAAGAGGCCUUGUCUUGUGAGAGAAAGAACACAUGCCUUGAGGCAGAGACAUGGGCUCAGAUGCCAGCUGUGCCACUUACCAGGAGUGUGGCUGGGAGUAGGUGACAGCCUCUCUGAGCUGGGAAUGGUGCCCAUUUAGACACCUACCUAUGAAGUCCCUACCCACCCUCACCCUGACCUAAUACAUGGUAUGCAAAGGGUUCUUGCAGACCUUCUUCUAUCUUUCCACAGAUAUCCAGUAACACAUGUGUAAAGGGGGUCUGUGUACAUAUGAACACCACAGUCCUCGCCUUUGCAUCUCAGGCUAAAUGCCAGGCCCUCCUAGUCCUCAAAAACUAAAUUAAAUGCCCCUUCCAUAUUUGAUUUGAAGCACACUUAUCCCAAACUAUUAUUAUAUAUUCCUUUGGGCUCAUUUAUCUCAUGGCUUUCUGGUCCCCAGGCUACUAGAGUUCCAUGAAGGCAGAGAUCAAAUCUGCUCUCUUUACCCACUAUUUUCAGCAAGCACAUAACACAAUUUAAGACAUAUAGUGAGUGUUCAAUUUGUGAAUGAACAAAUUCAUAAUCACAGAAAGAUAGUUCGAAACUUAAUCUUUCCAGAACCAGGAAUGUGAUAAAACCUGGUAUGUAGCUAUAUAUUGCUAAAGAUAUGAGAUGUUUCUGCACAAAGACAUAUGUUAUAGACAUCAUUAUGGUGAAACUCACAGAAAUUUAUUUGCAGUUGGGAUCUAGCCAUAACCUAGCAUCUGGCAAAAGAGUUAUUUUUCAUUCAAACAACCUGUAUCUCUAAGCGGCACGUGCCCAUAACAGAGCAUAUGCCUUUUUACUUUUAAAAGCUCAAUAAAUCAUUUGUGAUAUCUUUAAUGGAAAUGAAA
rnacentral:lncRNA from 12 species